UUCUUAUCAAGAGAGACGGAGGGACUGGCCCUAAGAUGUCUCAGCAACCAGCCGAUCUGGUCAGGUGCUAAAUCCAUCAAGUCCAUGACUUGAGAGAUAAGGA
rnacentral:ncRNA from 2 species